CAGUAGCCGCGGGAAUACGAAGGGGGCUAGCGUUGUUCGGAAUUACUGGGCGUAAAGCGCACGUAGGCUGACAUUUAAGUCAGAGGUGAAAGCCUGGAGCUCAACUCCAGAAUUGCCUUUAAGACUGCAUCGCUUGAAUCCGGGAGAGGUGAGUGGAAUUCCGAGUGUAGAGGUGAAAUUCGUAGAUAUUCGGAAGAACACCAGUGGCGAAGGCGGCUCACUGGACCGGCAUUGACGCUGAGGUGCGAAAGCGUGGGGAGCAAACAGGAUUAGAUACCCCCGUAGUCCCUGUCUCUUAUAC
rnacentral:rRNA from 1 species